CUUGUACACACCGCCCGUCACACCGCGAAAGUCGGCAACACCUGAAGCCGCUGAGCCAACCGCAAGGGGGCAGGCGUCGAGGGUGGGGUCGGUGAUUGGGGUGAAGUCGUAACAAGGUACCC
rnacentral:rRNA from 1 species